rnacentral:rRNA from 1 species
ACGGGAGGCAGCAGUGGGGAAUAUUGCACAAUGGAGGGAACUCUGAUGCAGCGAUGCCGCGUGGAGGAAGAAGGUUUUCGGAUUGUAAACUCCUUUUAUCAGGGACGAUAAUGACGGUACCUGAAGAAAAAGCUCCGGCUAACUACGUGCCAGCAGCCGCGGUAAUACGUAGGGAGCGAGCGUUGUCCGGAAUUACUGGGUGUAAAGGGAGCGUAGGCGGGAUAGCAAGUCAGAUGUGAAAACUAUGGGCUCAACCUGUAGAUUGCAUUUGAAACUGUUGUUCUUGAGUGAAGUAGAGGUAAGCGGAAUUCCUAGUGUAGCGGUGAAAUGCGUAGAUAUUAGGAGGAACAUCGGUGGCGAAGGCGGCUUACUGGGCUUUUACUGACGCUGAGGCUCGAAAGCGUGGGGAGCAAACAGGAUUAGAUACCCUGGUAGUCCACGCUGUAAACGAUGAUUACUAGGUGUGGGGGGACUGACCCCUUCCGUGCC